GUACUUGCUUCGGCAGUACAUAGUACAUAUACUAAAAUUGGAACGAUACAGAGAAGAUUAGCAUGGCCCCUGCGCCUGUCAGUUGCUAGGCGACCUAACUGUAAACAAAUAAAUUAUU